rnacentral:tRNA from 1 species
UGGAGUAUAGUUUAAUAGUAGAAUACUUGCCUAAUAUGAGCAAGGUCUUAGGUUCAAAUCCUAAUACAACAA